GCCUCUCGAUCUCUCAAGAAAGGAAGGGUUUCAGUACCAUCAUGCAGAAACAUGAUAUGUGAUGACGACGUGUUGGAUUCGUAAUGGAUCGUGUAUGCUACCUGCCGAUGCUUCCCAUUAAGUUGGAGUUGGGGGUUUUGUGAUGAAUGAUAAAAAUGAGGUUCUUGUGGUUCAAGAGAAACAUUGUGUGCACYUGAGCUUGUUGGCCUUUGGAAGUUACCAACUGGGUUCAUUCUUGCGGUA